GAUGAACGCUGGCUACAGGCUUAACACAUGCAAGUCGAGGGGAAACGACGGGGAAGCUUGCUUCCCCGGGCGUCGACCGGCGCACGGGUGAGUAACGCGUAUCCAACCUGCCUCUGACUGAGGGAUAACCCGUCGAAAGUCGGCCUAAUACCUCAUGGCAUCGUCUGCGGGCAUCCAACGACGAUUAAAGAUUUCAUCGGUCAGAGAUGGGGAUGCGUCUGAUUAGCUUGUUGGCGGGGUAACGGCCCACCAAGGCAACGAUCAGUAGGGGUUCUGAGAGGAAGGUCCCCCACAUUGGAACUGAGACACGGUCCAAACUCCUACGGGAGGCAGCAGUGAGGAAUAUUGGUCAAUGGGCGAGAGCCUGAACCAGCCAAGUAGCGUGCAGGAUGACGGCCCUAUGGGUUGUAAACUGCUUUUAUGCGGGGAUAAAGUGAGGGACGUGUCCUUCAUUGCAGGUACCGCAUGAAUAAGGACCGGCUAAUUCCGUGCCAGCAGCCGCGGUAAUACGGAAGGUCCGGGCGUUAUCCGGAUUUAUUGGGUUUAAAGGGAGCGUAGGCCGUGGAUUAAGCGUGUUGUGAAAUGCAGGUGCUCAACGUCUGCACUGCAGCGCGAACUGGUUCACUUGAGUGUGCGCAACGCAGGCGGAAUUCGUCGUGUAGCGGUGAAAUGCUUAGAUAUGACGAAGAACUCCGAUUGCGAAGGCAGCUUGCGGGAGCACAACUGACGCUGAAGCUCGAAAGUGCGGGUAUCGAACAGG
rnacentral:rRNA from 1 species